UCUAGACCAUUGUCAAUGAUUGUAUUAUGAUUUAGCAUAUUUUGUCAAAGAUAUUUUAUGAUCUAUAUUGAAUAUGAUGAGUUGAUGAUAGGGGAGGAGGCGAGGUGAACAGCUAGCUCUCAUCUGUCCAUGAUCUACCGUAUCAUGUAAUAGUGGAGCUAAACAUACGGACAAAAUUUUGGACUCAGAUACCAUGAUCCAGAUCCAGAUAUUCUUUCCGUGCGGGAAAUCAUACGAGCGAAGGCGUGCGGACUGCGGAGCGGAUAUUCCUGGGCGGGGCGGCGACGUGUCGAGGCGGAAGCGCCGCGCCGGUGGCCAAGAACGGGGGCAGAUUGAACACGGGGGAAGGGGGGUGGCCCUCGCUUCGUCCCCUGCACAUCCGCACAUGGCCUUCGCUUGACUCGUGAUGGAAUGGAGUCACCGCCACCACGAUGCUGGGCUGGCGAUUGGUGCGCCCGCCCACGCCUCCAGCGCCGCCACCGCCCAAAUCCAACCUCCUCCGGCGGGCCCAGCCACCGACCCGACCCGACCCGACCCGCUCAGCACUAGUGAGCAUGGCAAGUGCUGUUGGCGAGUGGUUCAGGUCGAGGCGAGUGCUGUUGGCACUAGUGGCUGCUCGCCUGCCUGGUGCCUGCUUGACAGCUUGAGCAGGGGUCAGAGCAGCUGCUCGGAGGCCGGCCUGGCCCUGCCCUGGGUGUGCUCGCCACUGUCGCAGAGUGCUCAGUGGAACCCGCGGCACAAACUACAAAGGGACCUGACUCGAAUGGCAGCUCGUCACCUCUCCCACCUGUCCUCCCCAGCGUCUGCUUCCCUCCUCGGCCCCGAGCCAUGGCGCCCUGCGCGUCCCCGUCCGCCCUCGCGCUCUCCGCCAGCACGCGGCUGGUUGAUUUGCUCUGCCUCGGCCUCCGCCUGACCGCCUUGCUGCAGGUCAGCAGCUUCCCACUGACGCUGCGCCCGCGGCCGCGGCCGGAGGCGCGUGUGCCGCGCGCGCCCGGCGGCGCCCAGCUCCGCCCGGCGACCGCGUGCUCUUGGCCGCGCCCCUUGCUGCCCGAGCUCGCGCCGGCGUUCCCUCGUGCCGGCGCCCGCAGCGCCGGCAGACCGCAGCCGCUGUUCCGGCCCCGCGCAAUGAUGACGACGUCUCAGAUCGCCAGCUGCGCCUUCACCGUGGGCACGGUCGCCGUCCUCCCCUUCUACACGCUCAUGGUCGUCGCCCCCAACGCCGACAUCACCAAACGCACGGUGGAGAGCAGCGCCCCCUACGUCGCCCUAGGCCUCCUCUACGCCUACCUGCUCUACCUGUCUUGGACCCCCGACACCCUUCGCGCCAUGUUCGCGAGCAAGUACUGGCUCCCCGAGGUACUGCUGCAGCACCAUUUGCUGAAACACUGCCGGGCAUCGUCAGGAUGUUCGCGAGCGAGAUGACCGUCGCCUCCGCAUGGAUCCACCUCCUAGCAGUCGAUCUCUUCGCGGCGAGGCAGGUCUACCACGACGGUCUCAAGAACAACAUCGAGACCAGGCAUUCGGUCUCGCUGUGCCUGCUCUUCUGCCCGGUCGGGAUCCUGGCUCAUGUGGUAACCAAGGUAUUGGCAGGGGCAGCUGGCCGCUCACAUUGAUGAUUGGAAUUGGGUGGUUGUAUCUAGGAUUCCCGUUUUGUUUAGCUGGUGGAGUUUAUGAGAUCUGGAUAUGAAUAAAGCUUGUUCAAGGCACUGAUUCUUUCAA